rnacentral:rRNA from 1 species
ACUCAAAUGAAUUGACGGGGACCCGCACAAGCAGUGGAUUGUCUGGUUUAAUUCGAUGAUAAGCGAAGAACCUCACCUGGGCUUGAACUGUAGCUGCACCGCCGAUGAAAGUCGGAAGCCUUCGAGGGUGCUACAGAGGUGCUGCAUGGCUGUCGUCAGCUCGUGUCGUGAGAUGUCGGGUUAAGUCCCACAACGAGCGCAACCCCUAUUCGAUGUUAUAUUACUUCGAACACUGCCCCGCCAAAACGGGGAGGAAGGAGGGGAUGACGUCCAGUCAUCAUAUCCCUUAUGUCCAGGGCUACACAGGCAAUACAAUGGCUACUACAAUGGGCUGCCAAACCGCGAGGUGGAGCUAAUCCCAUCAAAAGUAGCCUCAGUUCAGAUUGCAGGCUGAAACUCGCCUGCAUGAAGGUGGAAUUGCUAGUAAUCGUGCAUCAGCAUGGCACGGUGAAUACGUUCUCGGGUCUUGUACACACCGCCCGU